UACGGGGGGUGCAAGCGUUGUUCGGAAUUACUGGGCGUAAAGGGCUCGUAGGCGGCCAACUAAGUCAGACGUGAAAUCCCUCGGCUUAACCGGGGAACUGCAUCUGAUACUGGAUGGCUUGAGUUCGGGAGAGGGAUGUGGAAUUCCAGGUGUAGCGGUGAAAUGCGCAGAUAUCAGGAGGAACACCGAUUGCGAAGGCAGCUCGCUGGGACGUAACUGACGCUGAGACGCGAAAGCGUGGGGAGCAAACAGG
rnacentral:rRNA from 1 species